CCUACGGGGAGCAGCAGUAGGGAAUCUUCCACAAUGGGCGAAAGCCUGAUGGAGCAACGCCGCGUGGGUGAAGAAGGUCUUCGGAUCGUAAAACUCUGUUGUUAGAGAAGUAAGUGCGUGAGAGUAACUGUUCACGUUUCGACGGUAUCUAACCAGAAAGCCACGGCUAACUACGUGCCAGCAGCCGCGGUAAUACGUAGGUGGCAAGCGUUAGCCGGAUUUAUUGGGCGUAAAGGGAACGCAGGCGGUCUUUUAAGUCUGAUGUGAAAGCCUUCGGCUUAACCGGAGUAGUGCAUUGGAAACUGGUAGACUUGAGUGCAGAAGAGGAGAGUGGAACUCCAUGUGUAGCGGUGAAAUGCGUAGAUAUAUGGAAGAACACCAGUGGCGAAAGCGGCUCUCUGGUCUGUAACUGACGCUGAGGUUCGAAAGCGUGGGUAGCAAAUAGGAUUAGAUACCCCUGUAGUC
rnacentral:rRNA from 1 species